UCCUGAUGUUUAAUCAAAAUCUCCUUUCUUGUAACUUGAAUCCAUCGUUUCGAGUCCUACCCUCCAGAGCUGGACAAAAUAAGAUUGUUCCCUCUUCCAUGUAACAGCCCUUAAGAUAUUUGAAGAUGGCUAUCAUAUCUCCUUCCAGUCUCCUAUUUUCCAGGCUAAACAUACCCAUCUCCUUCAAC